rnacentral:rRNA from 1 species
UACAGAGGUCUCAAGCGUUGUUCGGAUUCAUUGGGCGUAAAGGGUGCGUAGGCGGCGCGGUAAGUCGGGUGUGAAAUUUCGAGGCUUAACUUCGAAACUGCAUUCGAUACUGUCGUGCUUGAGGACUGGAGAGGAGACUGGAAUUUACGGUGUAGCGGUGAAAUGCGUAGAUAUCGUAAGGAAGACCAGUGGCGAAGGCGGGUCUCUGGACAGUUCCUGACGCUGAGCACGAAGGCCAGGGGAGCAAACGGG